UCGUAACAAGGUUUCCCCUACAGUAGCCUUUGCAUCCUGGCGCGACCAGGAGGCUCCCGCGACUCAAAAUAAACGGUAGCCGUUUGCAAGUCAGGACUCGUCCUGGCAACACAACUAAAUUAACGGGGACUCCCAGGCUUAUGCAGCCUGGAAGAUCCGUAGCACGCAGGUGUUCACAGGCUAAAUAGUUGUGGGUCCGGUCACUCGACCGGGCUUGAGAUAUAGUCGGUCCCCGUGACGAAUCACGGGGAGGUCACGUUCCGUAGGUGAACCUGCGGAAGGAUCAUUA
rnacentral:rRNA from 1 species